rnacentral:rRNA from 1 species
UACGGAAGGUCCGGGCGUUAUCCGGAUUUAUUGGGUUUAAAGGGAGCGUAGACGGCCAGACAAGUCAGAAGUGAAAGCCCAGGGCUCAACCCUGGGACUGCUUUUGAAACUGCCGGGCUGGAGUGCAGGAGAGGUAAGCGGAAUUCCUAGUGUAGCGGUGAAAUGCGUAGAUAUUAGGAGGAACACCAGUGGCGAAGGCGGCUUACUGGACUGUAACUGACGUUGAGGCUCGAAAGCGUGGGGAGCAAACAGG